rnacentral:rRNA from 1 species
AACGAACGCUGGCGGCAUGCCUAACACAUGCAAGUCGAACGAGACCUUCGGGGCUAGUGGCGCACGGGUGCGUAACGCGUGGGAACCUGCCCUUAGGUUCGGAAUAACUCCCCGAAAGGGGUGCUAAUACCGGAUAAUGUCUUCGGACCAAAGAUUUAUCGCCUUUGGAUGGGCCCGCGUUGGAUUAGCUAGUUGGUAGGGUAAAAGCCUACCAAGGCGACGAUCCAUAGCUGGUCUGAGAGGAUGAUCAGCCACACUGGGACUGAGACACGGCCCAGACUCCUACGGGAGGCAGCAGUGGGGAAUAUUGGACAAUGGGCGAGAGCCUGAUCCAGCAAUGCCGCGUGAGUGAUGAAGGCCUUAGGGUUGUAAAGCUCUUUUAACCGGGAUGAUAAUGACAGUACCGGGAGAAUAAGCGCCGGCUAACUCCGUG